rnacentral:rRNA from 1 species
AGUGAACGCUGGCGGCGUGCCUAAUACAUGCAAGUCGAACGGAGUGGCGCACGGGAGAGGAAGGUAUAGCUCAUCUGCCCUACACUAGAGGACAACAGUAGGAAACGGCUGCUAAUACUCUAUAGUGUAGGAUGAGGCUAUAUUGUAUCAGCUAGUUGGUGAGGUAAUGGAUCACCAGGGGUAUGACGCAUAACAGGUGUGAGUGGAUGAUCAGUCACACGGGAACUGAGACACGGUCCGGACACCGACUGUAGGCAGCAGUAGGGAAUAUUGCUCAAUGGGGGAAACCCUGAAGCAGCAACGCCGCGUGGAGGAUUACACGUUUCGGAGCGUAAACUCCUGUUGUUAGGGAAGCGUUACCUAACGAAUAAGCACCGGCUAACUCCGUGCCAGCAGCCGCGGUAAUUC